rnacentral:rRNA from 1 species
AGAGUUUGAUCCUGGCUCAGGAUGAACGCUGGCGGCGUGCCUAACACAUGCAAGUCGAGCGUGAUUAAGUGGAACGGAGACUUCGGUCAAAGUGAAACUUAUGAAAGCGGCGGACGGGUGAGUAACGCGUGGGCAACCUGCCUCAUACAAAGGGAUAGCCACUGGAAACGGUGAUUAAUACCUUAUAAGUCGGUAGCAUCGCAUGAUGUAGCCGACAAAGAUUUAUUGGUAUGAGAUGGGCCCGCGUCUGAUUAGCUAGUUGGUAAGGUAACGGCUUACCAGGGCGACGAUCAGUAGCCGACCUGAGAGGGUGAUCGGCCACACUGGAACUGUGACACGGUCCAGACUCCUACGGGAGGCAGCAGUGGGGAAUAUUGCACAAUGGGCGCAAGCCUGAUGCAGCAACGCCGCGUGAGUGAUGAAGGCCUUCGGGUUGUAAAACUCUGUCCUAUGGGAAGAAACAAAUGACGGUACCAUAGGAGGAAGCCCCGGCUAACUACGUGCCAGCAGCCGCGGUAAUACGUAGGGGGCAAGCGUUAUCCGGAAUCACUGGGCGUAAAGGGUGCGUAGGCGGCUUAUCAAGCCAGGGGUGAAAGGCAUUGGCUCAACCAAUGUAAGCCUUUGGAACUGAUAGGCUUGAGUGCAGGAGAGGUAAGUGGAAUUCCUAGUGUAGAGGUGAAAAUUCGUAGAUAUUACGAGGAACACCAGUGGCGAAAGCGACUUACUGGACUGUAACUGACGCUGAGGCACGAAAGCGUGGGUAGCGAACAGGGAUUAGAUACCCCUGCUAGUCCACGCCGUAACGAAUGAAUACUAGGUGUCGGGCGUCAAAACCUCCGCUGCCGCAGCAAACACCAUUAAGUAUUUCCGGCUGGGGUAGUACGUCACGCCAACGUGGUGAACUUCAAGGAAUGAACGGGAGCCUUGCACUAAGGUAAGCGAACAUGUGUUACUCCGAAGCUAGCCGCGACGACUUAGCCAGGUUCUUGAACAUCCCUCGCUUGAUGACUACUUCGGGACAGAGGAGACAGGUGGUGCAUGGUUGUCGUCAGCUCGUGUCGUGAGAUGUUGGGUUAAGUCCCGCAACGAGCGCAACCCUUAUGUUUAGUUGUCAUCAGGUAAAGCUGGACCCUCUAGACAGACUGCCGUGGAUAACACGGAGGAAGGUGGGGAUGACGUCAAAUCAUCAUGCCCCUUAUGAUCUGGGCUACACACGUGCUACAAUGGUCGGUACAACGGGCAGCGAAGUCGUAAGAUGGAGCGAAUCCUAAAAAGCCGAUCCCAGUUCGGAUUGUGGGCUGAAACUCGCCCACAUGAAGUUGGAGUUGCUAGUAAUCGCGAAUCAGAAUGUCGCGGUGAAUGCGUUCCCGGGUCUUGUACACACCCCCGUCACACCACGAAAGUCGGGUAGACCUGAAGACGGUAACCGUGAGGAGCCGUUUGGUAGAACCGGUAACUGGGGCUAAGUCGUAACAAGGUAGCCGUA